rnacentral:miRNA from 1 species
CGCGUGCGCGUCGGGUCCC